UACAGAGGUCUCAAGCGUUGUUCGGAUUCAUUGGGCGUAAAGGGUGUGUAGGUGGCGCCGUAAGUCGGGUGUGAAAUUUCGGAGCUUAACUCCGAAACUGCAUUCGAUACUGCGGUGCUUGAGGACUGGAGAGGAGACUGGAAUUCACGGUGUAGCGGUGAAAUGCGUAGAUAUCUGGAGGAACACCGGUGGCGAAGGCGACAUCCUGGACCAACACUGACGCUGAGUGAGCGAAAGCCAGGGGAGCAAACGGG
rnacentral:rRNA from 1 species